rnacentral:hammerhead_ribozyme from 1 species
AUUUGGUUGACGAGUCCGAAAUAGGACGAAACACGUGUCCUAAUU